ACGGAGGGUGCGAGCGUUGUCCGGAAUCACUGGGCGUAAAGGGUGCGUAGGUGGCCCUGUAAGUCAGUGGUGAAAUAUCUCAGCUUAACUGAGAGGGUGCCAUUGAUACUGCAGGGCUUGAGUACAGAUGAGGUAGGCGGAAUUGACGGUGUAGCGGUGAAAUGCAUAGAUAUCGUCAAGAACACCGAUAGCGAAGGCAGCUUACCAAGCUGUAACUGACACUGAGGCACGAAAGUGUGGGGAUCAAACAGGA
rnacentral:rRNA from 1 species